CUCGGGUUAAGCUAGUAGUCCAUUGGGUGGUGGGAUCUCCUUAUUCCUAUUUACCUUGGCUGGGAACUGAAAUCAAAGCCUAAUCCGGGCUAAUAUGUCAAAGCAGUCAUCUGAAAGCCUUCUCUAAUUGUGGAAGAGAAAAAAUGCUUUUUUCUUUAAAUAGAGCUACUUUCCCUCUUCUCUUAUUUCAUUCACUCAUUUCUCUAAUUAUCAUUACCCCUUACCCUCUCUCACAUUCCACCAAGAACUAAUAGGCCUU
rnacentral:misc_RNA from 1 species